rnacentral:rRNA from 1 species
UCUCAAAGANUNANCCAUGCAUGUCUAAGUAUAAGCAACUAUACCGUGAAACUGCGAAUGGCUCAUUAAAUCAGUUAUCGUUUAUUUGAUAGUACCUCUACUACAUGGACAACUGUGGUAAUUCUAGAGCUAAUACAUGCUAAAAACCUCGACUUCGGAAGGGGUGUAUUUAUUAGAUAAAAAACCAAUGCCCUUCGGGGCUUCUUGGUGAUUCAUAAUAACUAAACGAAUCGCAUGGCCUUGCGCCGGCGAUGGUUCAUUCAAAUUUCUGCCCUAUCAACUUUCGAUGGUAGGAUAGUGGCCUACCAUGGUUUCAACGGGUAACGGGGAAUUAGGGUUCUAUUCCGGAGAGGGAGCCUGAGAAACGGCUACCACAUCCAAGGAAGGCAGCAGGCGCGCAAAUUAUCCAAUCCCAAUACGGGGAGAUAGUGACAAUAAAUACUGAUACAGGGCUCUUUUGGGUCUUGUAAUUGGAAUGAGUACAAUUUAAAUCCCUUAACGAGGAACAAUUGGAGGGCAAGUCUGGUGGACGUUCAGUCUCGCUGCUGACGCCAGAGAUAGCAGGNNCUCUCCCCCGUGGCGGGGGGGGGGCUAUGCCUGCUAGUCGAGCAUCCCGUGGGUGACGGGUGGAUGCCGGCGAGGUAACCUGGAACGGGGAAGCCUACGGGGGGUCCNACCCCUAUGGUAAUCCCGUGGCGAGCUCUGGAGACGGGGCCGUCGUAACGCGCGCAAAGGUACCGGUCGCUGUACGCAGCGGCUCAAGGGACGUGCUAUACCCACCCGAAAGGGUGAUCCCGCCUGGAGCACCCGUCGUGCAAAGGGCGUGGAUGGGAGGNCGGUGCCUGCACCCACCCCCGGUGGUUCAGCGAUGAACCUCCAUCUUCUAGGCCAGCAGCCGCGGUAAUUCCAGCUCCAAUAGCGUAUAUUAAAGUUGUUGCAGUUAAAAAGCUCGUAGUUGAACCUUGGAUCUGGCCGAUCGGUCCGCCUCACCGCGUGCACUGGCUCGGCCGGAUCUUUCUUUCUGGGGAGCCCUAUGGCCUUCACUGGUCGUAGCGGGGAACCAGGACUUUUACUUUGAAAAAAUUAGAGUGUUCAAAGCAGGCCUUCGCUCGAAUACAUUAGCAUGGAAUAAUAGAAUAAGACGUGUGGUUUUAUUUUGUUGGUUUCUAAGACCGCCGUAAUGAUUAAUAGGGACAGUCGGGGGCGUCUGUAUUCCGUUGUCAGAGGUGAAAUUCUUGGAUUUACGGAAGACAAACUACUGCGAAAGCAUUCGCCAAGGAUGUUUUCAUUAAUCAGUGAACGAAAGUUAGGGGAUCGAAGACGAUCAGAUACCGUCGUAGUCUUAACCAUAAACUAUGCCGACUAGGGAUCGGACGGUGUUUUUAUUUUGACCCGUUCGGCACCUUACGAGAAAUCAAAGUGUUUGGGCUCUGGGGGG